rnacentral:tRNA from 2 species
GCAAGGGUAGUCAAGCCUGGCCAACGACGUUAGAUUCAGGGUCUAAUCCAUAGCGGUCCGCGAGUUCGAAUCUCGUCCCUUGCACCA